GGGGCGCCAGAGAGGGUG
rnacentral:snRNA from 1 species